UGCCCACUGAUUAAUAAUUAAAGGGCUGCAGUAUUUUGACUGUACAAAGGUAGCAUAAUCAUUAGUCAUUUAAUUGAUGACUUGUAUGAAAGAUUGGAUGAAAUAUAGACUGUCUCAUUAGUAAUUUAUAGAAAUUAAUUUUUUAAUUAAAAAGUUAAAAUAUUUUAAAAAGACGAGAAGACCCUAUAGAGUUUUAUUUUUAUUAGGUUUAGUUAUAUUUAUAAAUAGAGUGUAUUUUUAAAUUUUGUAAAAAUUUUAUUGGGGUGAUAGAAAAAUUAAAUAAACUUUUUUUAAAAUUAUAACAUAAAUAAGUGAUUUUUUGAUCCAAUUAUAUUGAUUAAAAGAAAAAAUUACCUUAGGGAUAACAGCGUAAUUUUUUUUUUUAGUUCAUAUAAAAAAAAAAGUUUGCGACCUCGAUGUUGGAUUAAGAUAAAAUUUAAAUGCAGAAGUUUAAAAUUUUGA
rnacentral:rRNA from 1 species